UACGUAGGGGCUAGCGUUAUCCGGAAUUACUGGGCGUAAAGGGUGCGUAGGUGGUUUCUUAAGUCAGAGGUGAAAGGCUACGGCUCAACCGUAGUAAGCCUUUGAAACUGGGAAACUUGAGUGCAGGAGAGGAGAGUGGAAUUCCUAGUGUAGCGGUGAAAUGCGUAGAUAUUAGGAGGAACACCAGUUGCGAAGGCGGCUCUCUGGACUGUAACUUACGCUGAGGCACGAAAGCGUGGGGAGCAAACAGGAUUAGAUACCCUGGUAGUCCCUGAGCGGG
rnacentral:rRNA from 1 species